AUGGCGCAGUUCCAGGUGAACAAAAUGUGGGGGAUGUCCCAGACCAUAGAUCACAAAGAGUGUAAAGGAGACUCAGUGACGCAGACAGAAGGACACGUUGCUGCUGCUGAAGGAGAAUCUGUAACUCUGGGAUGUACUUUUGAGACCAUUUCUACAAAUUAUGCUCUGUUCUGGUAUAAACAACAAGGGCAAGGUGUUCCAAAGUACAUGCUCAAGGAAUAUAUUAAAAGAAGUGACAAUGCUCCAGAGUUCAAUAGAAACCGAUUUACUGCUCAGGUCAAUAAAUCAGCCUUCGAUCUGACGAUCCAGGAUCUCCGUCUGUCAGACUCUGCUGUGUACUACUGUGCUCUGCAGCCCACAGUGACAGGAAACACCAGAACUCUGUACAAGAACCUGCAAAAAAGGACAAAACAAUGCAUACCAACAUCCACUAGGGGGCCUCCUAAAGCAGGCUUUAAGAACAUGUAAUAAAGAUGGUUAUGGGGGGUGUCAAGUGCCAUUAUAAAGUAAAUUACUUAUGAAAUAACCAUUUAGAUGUGUCACUUAAAUUGAGUAGUGGAUUUAUUUUAAAUGUAAGUAAUUAUUUUUAAUGGCACAAGUUUACAUGUUUUGAUUUCAUUUUAAGAACUGAA